rnacentral:lncRNA from 1 species
AGGGUGAAGUAAGACCAAGCUCAUGAGCUUAUUAUCCUAGGUCUGCUAUGCCAUCUUAAGGUGCUACUACUAAAUGGAAGGAUCUUAUCAACGUCCAUGAAUGCGAAAUCAUAGAUCGAACUGACGAAUUGGCAAAAUUCGGUGCUAUCAUAGUAUCCGCUAAGUUCACGGGCUGGAGAUAAGCAGACUCGAACCGCUGACAUCCGCCACAGGGUAAACCACCGCCUCUCAGGCCUCCCCGACGGGUUCUACCAUAGAGGACAACGAUAGACAAUAACUUCGCAUUCUCAGGGCCAUAGAAUGAAAGUUAUUAGGUUUUGAAGUUCUACUUUCAUUUAGAAUUUAAGCAUUAUUUUUCCCCUUGCUUCCGAAAAAAUAGUCAAGAAACACUAAUGGCAACCCUUCGAGUCUCCUCUCAUCACCAACUCUAUCCGUCCUGGCAAAGCGGCGAACCUUGAUCUCAGCUUGCCUAAUGAAGAAAG